rnacentral:rRNA from 1 species
UACGUAGGGUGCAAGCGUUAAUCGGAAUUACUGGGCGUAAAGCGUGCGCAGGCGGUUUUGUAAGUUUGUCGUGAAAGCCCCGGGCUCAAUCUGGGAAUUGCGAUGAAGACUGCAAGGCUUGAAUCUGGCAGAGGGGGGUAGAAUUCCACGUGUAGCAGCGAAAUGCGUAGAGAUGUGGAGGAACACCGAUGGCGAAGGCAGCCCCCUGGGUCAAGAUUGACGCUCAUGCACGAAAGCGUGGGGAGCAAACAGG